AGUGAACGCUGGCGGUAGGCCUAACACAUGCAAGUCGAGCGGCAGCACAGUAAGAGCUUGCUCUUACGGGUGGCGAGUGGCGGACGGGUGAGGAAUACAUCGGAAUCUACUUUUUCGUGGGGGAUAACGUAGGGAAACUUACGCUCAUACCGCAUACGACCUACGGGUGAAAGCAGGGGAUCUUCGGACCUUGCGCGAUUGAAUGAGCCGAUGUCGGAUUGGCUAGUUGGCGGGGUAAAGGCCCACCAAGGCGACGAUCCGUAGCUGGUCUGAGAGGAUGAUCGGCCACACUGGAGCUGGGACACGGUCCAGACUCCUACGGGAGGCAGCAGUGGGGAAUAUUGGACAAUGGGCGCAAGCCUGAUCCAGCCAUACCGCGUGUGUGAAGAAGGCCUUCGGGUUGUAAAGCCCUUUUGUUGGGAGAGAAAAGCAGCAGGUUAAUACCCCGCUGUUCUGACGGUACCCAAAGAAUAAGCACCGGCUAACUUCGUG
rnacentral:rRNA from 1 species